rnacentral:rRNA from 1 species
ACGGGAGUGGCAAGCGUUAUCCGGAAUUAUUGGGCGUAAAGCGUCCGCAGGCGGUCUUGAAAGUCUGUUGUUAAAGCGUGGAGCUCAACUCCAUUUCAGCAAUGGAAACUAGAAGACUAGAGUGUGGUAGGGGCAGAGGGAAUUCCCGGUGUAGCGGUGAAAUGCGUAGAUAUCGGGAAGAACACCAGUGGCGAAGGCGCUCUGCUGGGCCAUAACUGACGCUCAUGGACGAAAGCCAGGGGAGCGAAAGGG